AAGAGCCCGGUGCGGUAAUUCCGCACGCCGGGAUCUGUGUGGGGGACGCUGGGCAACUAGCGUUCCUACCAUGAC
rnacentral:misc_RNA from 1 species